rnacentral:ncRNA from 2 species
CUCUUAUCCAGAGUGGUGGAGGGACUGGCCCGAUGAAACCCGGCAACCGCCCUGGGGUGAAGGUAAACCCGCAAACCGCCGGCGGCUCUUACCUUUGCCCGGGGAAUGGUGCUAAUUCCUGCAGAAGUUUAUCUUCUGACAGAUAAGAG